rnacentral:rRNA from 1 species
GAUGAACGCUGGCGGCGUGCUUAACACAUGCAAGUCGAACGAAGCACUUUAUUUGAUUUCCUUCGGGACUGAUUAUUUUGUGACUGAGUGGCGGACGGGUGAGAAACGCGUGGGUAACCUGCCUUGUACAGGGGGAUAACAGUUGGAAACGGCUGCUAAUACCGCAUAAGCGCACGGCAUCGCAUGAUGCAGUGUGAAAAACUCCGGUGGUAUAAGAUGGACCCGCGUUGGAUUAGCUAGUUGGUGAGGUAACGGCCCACCAAGGCGACGAUCCAUAGCCGACCUGAGAGGGUGACCGGCCACAUUGGGACUGAGACACGGCCCAAACUCCUACGGGAGGCAGCAGUGGGGAAUAUUGCACAAUGGGCGAAAGCCUGAUGCAGCGACGCCGCGUGAGCGAAGAAGUAUUUCGGUAUGUAAAGCUCUAUCAGCAGGGAAGAUAAUGACGGUACCUGACUAAGAAGCACCGGCUAAAUACGU